rnacentral:rRNA from 1 species
GACGAACGCUGGCGGCGUGCUUAACACAUGCAAGUCGAACGGAAAGGCCUGCUUUCCCUUGUGGAUUGCGGGUACUCGAGUGGCGAACGGGUGAGUAACACGUGAGUGAUCUGCCCCCAACUUGGGUAUAAGCCUGGGAAACUGGGUCUAAUUCCCGAUAGGACUGCAGGGUGGUGCCUGUGGUGGAAAACGAUUUUCUAGUGGUUGGGGAUGAGCUCGAGGCCUAUCAGCUUGUUGGUGGGGUAAUGGCCUACCAAGGCGGCGAGCGGUAGCCGGACUGGGAGGGGGGACGGCGGAAUUGGGACUGGGACACGGCCCAGACUCGUACGAGAGGCAGGAGUGGGGAAUAUUGGACAGUGGGCGGAAGCCUGAUGCAGCGACGCCGCGUGGGAGGUGUCGGGCUUCGAGUUGUAAGCUACUUGGGAACGAGAGAAGGGCAACUGAUUGGAAGGGUGGUGACGGUAGUGGUAGAAGAAGCACCGGCUAACUACGUG